GUGAACGCUGGCGGUAGGCCUAACACAUGCAAGUCGAACGGCAGCACAGUAAGAGCUUGCUCUUACGGGUGGCGAGUGGCGGACGGGUGAGGAAUACAUCGGAAUCUACUUUUUCGUAGGGGAUAACGUAGGGAAACUUACGCUAAUACCGCAUACGACCUACGGGUGAAAGCAGGGGAUCUUCGGACCUUGCGCGAUUGAAUGAGCCGAUGUCGGAUUAGCUAGUUGGCGGGGUAAAGGCCCACCAAGGCGACGAUCCGUAGCUGGUCUGAGAGGAUGAUCAGCCACACUGGAACUGAGACACGGUCCAGACUCCUACGGGAGGCAGCAGUGGGGAAUAUUGGACAAUGGGCGCAAGCCUGAUCCAGCCAUACCGCGUGGGUGAAGAAGGCCUUCGGGUUGUAAAGCCCUUUUGUUGGGAAAGAAAAGCAGCAGGUUAAUACCCCGCUGUCCUGACGGUACCCAAAGAAUAAGCACCGGCUAACUUCGUG
rnacentral:rRNA from 1 species